rnacentral:rRNA from 1 species
GACGAACGCUGGCGGCGUGCUUAACACAUGCAAGUCGAACGGAAAGGCCCUGCUUGCUGGGUACUCGAGUGGCGAACGGGUGAGUAACACGUGGGUGAUCUGCCCUGCACUUCGGGAUAAGCCUGGGAAACUGGGUCUAAUACCGGAUAGGAGCCAUUUUUAGUGUGAUGGUUGGAAAGUUUUUUCGGUGUAGGAUGAGCUCGCGGCCUAUCAGCUUGUUGGUGGGGUAAUGGCCUACCGAGGCGGCGACGGGUAGCCGGCCUGAGAGGGUGGACGGCCACAUUGGGACUGAGAUGCGGCCCAGACUCCUACGGGAGGCAGCAGUGGGGAAUAUUGCACAAUGGGCGCAAGGCUGAUGCAGAGACGCCGCGUGGGGGAUGACGGCCUUCGGGUUGUAAAAUCCUUUCGCUAGGGACGAAGCUUUUUGUGACGGUACCUAGAUAAGAAGCACCGGCUAACUACGUG